UACUUCUUAAUUUACAAUUCCUGGUUCAUCGCGAUUAAAGAACCAUUCUGUGUACGUGUGUAUUUAUGUAUGUAUGUAUGUAUCGCAUGUGUAUGUAAACUAAUAUUUUAAAAUAUUUACACUAUAAGCGAGAACUUUCUAGAAUCAUUUAAUUCCAAGUUAUUAUAAUAUGUCACCUAGUGAAAAGUAAAAUUAGCCGACGGAGAGAAUUGGAUGAUAGGGUAUGCGAGAGAAUCAUAUUAUCACUGAGAUGAUGACCCCGAGUAGAAGACCCUGUAAAUGUAUUAUGUAUAUAUAUAUAUAUAUAUAUCACAACAUUUCCUCGAACACCGGAAGCCGAAAAUUGGUGCACUACUAUUUUCAUUCGCUCCACGUGUCAGCAACGACGACGGGCCCGAGUUCAUCAAAAUGUCCGAAACGCGGCCGACAAUUUAUAAUUUUGUUAUAUCGUUUUUCCG